rnacentral:rRNA from 1 species
GACGAACGCUGGCGGCGUGCUUAACACAUGCAAGUCGAACGGAAAGGCCCUGCAUUUGUGGGGUGCUCGAGUAGCGAACGGGUGAGUAACACGUGAGUAACCUGCCCUUGACUUUGGGAUAACUUCAGGAAACUUGGGCUAAUACCGGAUAGGAGCUCCUGCUGCAUGGUGGGGGUUGGAAAGUUUCGGCGGUUGGGGAUGGACUCGCGGCUUAUCAGCUUGUUGGUGAGGUAGUGGCUUACCAAGGCUUUGACGGGUAGCCGGCCUGAGAGGGUGACCGGCCACAUUGGGACUGAGAUACGGCCCAGACUCCUACGGGAGGCAGCAGUGGGGAAUAUUGCACAAUGGGCGGAAGCCUGAUGCAGCAACGCCGCGUGCGGGAUGACGGCCUUCGGGUUGUAAACCGCUUUCGCCUGUGACGAAGCGUGAGUGACGGUAAUGGGUAAAGAAGCACCGGCUAACUACGUG